CAAACGGCCCUUUUCAGGGCCACUACAUAUUGAGAAAAAUGAUCGU
rfam:Lingula anatina scaffold185, whole genome shotgun sequence.